GGGAGGGUGACGGAUCUCUGCUGUUGUCAAAAUUGUAACUAGAAUCAUAAUUACCAUAUCUUGGAGGGUAGCUAGACAUAGAUGGACUGAAUACUGGGUCAACACCUGGAGGCCCUUCAUCAAGGGAAUCCCUAGACCCUCUUUGCUCGUGACGACGCCAUCUGCUAAUUGGUUCUGAAGAAUGGUUUGAUCUACGGAGUGAUCUAUUCCUAAAAGGAUCGUAGCUUGAAGGUCCAGCUGCCCAAAGUCUUUCAUCAGCAUUCUCUGGGAUUGGUUGGUGCAUUUAUUCCUGGAAAUUCAACAGCCAUUUUCUUUGGUGGGUCAGGGCAGUCUGUCUCAAUGAUUUCCCCAUCUUCCUGUUCUUCCUUGACAUCCUCAUCAGCAAAUAUUGUGAUCCCCGAUGGUUGAUCCUCAUCAUCUGGAUCUAGAUACCCUGGUGGAUAUCCCAAUUCUCGCAUUCUGUUAAGCCAAGGAGGUGGAUCAAGCUCCCCAAGACCCAAAAGCUGCCUUGUUUCAGCACCAAGAGCACCUGGCUUUAAACCAUCAUAUUUUCCACCAGAAGAGUUCUGAUAAUAUCGAGCUGAAUUGCGAGGGCCAGAAUUCUG
rnacentral:misc_RNA from 1 species